AACGAACGCUGGCGGCAUGCCUAACACAUGCAAGUCGAACGCCUGUAGCAAUACAGGAGUGGCGAACGGGUGAGUAACGCGUGGGAACCUGCCCUAGAGUGGGGGAUAACCUGGCGAAAGCGAGGGCUAAUACCGCAUAUGCCCUGAGGGCAAAGGCUUCGGCCGCUCUUGGAGGGGCCCGCGUUGGAUUAGGUAGUUGGUGAGGUAACGGCUCACCAAGCCGACGAUCCAUAGCUGGUCUGAGAGGAUGAUCAGCCACACUGGGACUGAGACACGGCCCAGACUCCUACGGGAGGCAG
rnacentral:rRNA from 1 species